AGUGAACGCUGGCGGCAGGCCUAACACAUGCAAGUCGAACGGCAGCACAGGAGAGCUUGCUCUCUGGGUGGCGAGUGGCGGACGGGUGAGGAAUACAUCGGAAUCUACUCUGUCGUGGGGGAUAACGUAGGGAAACUUACGCUAAUACCGCAUACGACCUACGGGUGAAGGCAGGGGACCUUCGGGCCUUGCGCGAUUGAAUGAGCCGAUGUCGGAUUAGCUAGUUGGCGGGGUAAAGGCCCACCAAGGUGACGAUCCGUAGCUGGUCUGAGAGGAUGAUCAGCCACACUGGAACUGAGACACGGUCCAGACUCCUACGGGAGGCAGCAGUGGGGAAUAUUGGACAAUGGGCGCAAGCCUGAUCCAGCCAUACCGCGUGGGUGAAGAAGGCCUUCGGGUUGUAAAGCCCUUUUGUUGGGAAAGAAAUCCAGCUGGCUAAUACCCGGUUGGGAUGACGGUACCCAAAGAAUAAGCACCGGCUAACUUCGUGCCAGCCGCCGCGGUAA
rnacentral:rRNA from 1 species